CGGAUCGCAGGCUGCAACCCGCCUGCGUGAAGUUGGAAUCGCUAGUAAUCGCGGAUCAGCAUGCCGCGGUGAAUACGUUCCCGGGCCUUGUACACACCGCCCGUCACACCAUGAGAGUCGGGAACACCCGAAGUCCGUAGCCUAACCGCAAGGGGGCGCGGCCGAAGGUGGGUUCGAUAAUUGGGGUGAAGUCGUAACAAGGUACC
rnacentral:rRNA from 1 species